UACCAUGUGUUGAGCCGAGGUUCUCCGGAUGCCACAACAUCUGGAGCGAAGAGGGAAGCCGGUCCAAUACCGGCGCUGCCCCCGCAACUGUAGGCGGGAAGUGACCGAUCCACGAAUGUCACUGGUGCGUCGCACUGGGAAGACGGAUCGGCCGCCGAGACCCGCGAGCCAGGAGACCUGCCCCGGCCUAUGAGAAAUGU
rnacentral:ncRNA from 1 species